UACGGGGGGGGCAAGCGUUGUUCGGAAUUACUGGGCGUAAAGGGCUCGUAGGCGGCCAACUAAGUCAGACGUGAAAUCCCCAGGCUUAACCUGGGAACUGCGUCGGAUACUGGAUGGCUUGAAUUCGGGAGAGGGAUGCAGAAUUCCAGGUGUAGCGGUGAAAUGCGUAGAUAUCUGGAGGAAUACCGGUGGCGAAGGCGGCAUCCUGGACCGACAUUGACGCUGAGACGCGAAAGCUAGGGGAGCGAACAGG
rnacentral:rRNA from 1 species